rnacentral:tRNA from 1 species
CUGCUCAGCGACAGCCGCUGCAAGCAGGCCCCUUGUACGGACACGACGAA